rnacentral:lncRNA from 1 species
UUGCUUACCCUUGACAAAUUCAUCCAAGAACGGUCCAUUUCUAAAUUCUUGCAGUCUGCUUUUCACCAGAAAUUACAAGGGUAAGUUGUUCAGUUAUAAGUAUAUAUGAGUUAUGAAGGUUAUGUAUUAUGUAAGUUAUGUAAGUUAAAUAUUUAUGUAAGUCCGACAACUUAAUGUCCGCCAAGAAUUAAUUUAGUUAUGUAUGUUACGUAUCAUAUUAAUGUAAGUUAUGUAUUAUAUAAGUUAUUUAAGUUAUGUAAGUUGUGUAAGUUAUGUAUACUAUUAAUGUAAGUUAUGUAUAAUAUUAAUGUAAGUUAUGUAUUAUGUAAGUUAUGUAUAAUAUUAAUGUAAGUUAUGUAUUAUGUUAAUAUUUAGAAAAUAGCAUUUACAAUUAUUUCUAAAAUUAUAAAAUUUAUUAUUGAAAAUAUAGAUGUUAAUAUAUAGAAAAUAACAUUUACAAUUAUUUCUAAAAUUAUAAAAAUUAUUAUUGAAAAUAUAGGUUUUAUUAUUUAAAAAAUAACAUUUACAAUUAUUUUUAAAAUUAAAAAUUUAUUAUCAAUAAAAUUUAAAUAUAGCUUAUAUACGUAAAUUAAUAUAUGUAUAAUAUUAAAAAUAUAGUAAUACAUAUGUAAGUUAUCAAUUUAUGUCCCAAAUUGAUUACGUUUUCUCGGAAAAUUUAUUGCGUGAUUUUUUAAAAAUCUUCUCAAAAUUUUUUAGAAAAAUAGGUUAUAUAUGUGAAAAAUAAAAUAGGGUUAAGCCAAAAAGAACGAGAUCAACUGGCAUAUUAGAGGUUAAAAUAUAAUAUUACAAGCAAUCUUUGCUUUUAAACUAAUCUUGCACUGAAUUAGGGAUGGAAAGGUGUAUGUGUUACUGAUUUGACAACAAAAUAAACACUACUUUCUGCAAUAUAUGUUUGCUGAUUUUGUUUGCAGAGAAAAGAUAAAAGCAAAUCUAAUAUAAAAGCAUAAAACCCGUGGAUUCUAAAGUUGCAUGCUUUUCUUUUUUAUUUCUACAAGUUUAGCACUAAGGUCUUUUCAUCAUUUUUAAAUUUAUUUAUCUUCAAACUAUAAAUAACAGUAUAUCAGUUUCAUACUAGCAUUUCUUUCUUUUAUAACUAAUCAUUGAUUUUCAAAGUGUAAUUACAAUUGUAAAUCAUAUAUAUUACUAUGAACAACAAGUAAUUAUAUCUUAAUUUUUUUUUAUGUAUUUCAAAGAUAGUGAAAUUGUAUUGUUUAUGGAACCAUAUUAAAUAAUACUAGUAUUAAAUAAUACUAUUUGCAUUGGCUAAAAGAACUAUUAGCACAUAAACAAAGUCCACUUGCUUAAAACCAUUUGGGGAUUUGCAUAAUACAUGUCAAGACGGUGACUAAAUGCAACGGCUAUAGCAGUACCUCGAACAGCAAGAUGAUUAACUACCAAACCUUUUGUUUGCAACAGAAAAUUUAGCUUCAAAAAAUUCUGUUCUUUCAAUCAAACUAAGGCUGAUACAUUACAACAGAAGAAUAAAUAUUUACCUUCCAUGCAAAAAAGUAGACAAGUUCUGCAGCGAAAUACGCAGCAAGCUAGCGGCAAAAAAUUGACCUUUCACGCCAAAGAAUAGCGUUAUCCUUCCAACCCAGCAAGCUAAGCACAACAACGCAAACAGCAAUUAUGAACGGUUACUAACUACUUAAACUACAAACAGGAUAUAAACAAAUUAUGAACAAAAAUUUGCAACGAGAAAUGUUAUUAGAUUUAUAUUAUUUUAUAAGCUAUAGAGUAAGAAUUAUUUGAUAAGCUAUAGAGUGAGAAUUAUUAUGCAACGAGAAAUGUUAUUAGAAAUGUAUUACUUGACAGCCUAUGGGACCAAAUACAACAAUUAUUUGAUAAGGUAUAUUCCAACGAAGUGUUCAAGAGAGCACUGCACAAGGUUUUUGUCAAGAGUUGGUUCAAAUGUGCCAAAUUUCUGGCAUGGUGAAUUUUCCUAACCUUUGCUUUCACUAUCCAACUAAUUUAUCUAUAUAACAACUUCCAAUGGAUGUCGUUUGGUGCCUGAACCUUUGAUCAAUUUGGUCUUUUAAAUGCAGGAAUUCGAUCGAGACCCCGUAAUUCCUAUCUAUUCAGCUAGACCAGAUCAAGUUAACAAGGCACUGAAAUACGUAUACCAUGCUGCUGCAAACAAGCUUGAAGGAAAAUAACUUGAAUUACUCAUUGCCAUUCUUCCAGACAACAAUGGAUCCUUAUAUGGUAUGUCCCUUCUUGCAACUAUAUUAAUUGUAUGAACAAAAUUUUUCAUGAUUAGCAGGAUAACAAUGUACAACAAGACGGAAUAUACUGCUUAGUUUGCUUUGAUUUUUGUUUAAAAAUAAUAAUUUUUUUUCAUGCGUAUGACAUGAGAUAUGGUACUUUUGGUUUCAGUAAGAGCAAUUAUGGGACCAAAUAUUAUCAUUUCCUAUAAUACAAACAGGAGAGUGAAAAUGAUGAAAAAAAUUAUGAACAGUUCCAAACUAUUUGGAACUACAAGCAAGAAAUAAACAAAUCAUGAACUAAAUUAUGCAAAGGCUAUAGAUAAAAUUCUAAGAACAAAUUCCCGGUAUUUUCUGUCCCAAACAGGAUACUGUAAAAUUGUCUGAAACCCAUCAACAAUUUGUGCAUUUAGUUAACAUUAUUAGGUGUAAAAUAAUGUAUGUGAGGUUGUAACCUAAACCCUAUACCAGGUGCAAAACUAUUUGCGUGCAGAAGAGAAAGAGGAAAACCUUACCGAUCGUUUUACCCAAGCGACGGCAGAGGAGUGCGGUGGUACACGACUGUCACGGUCGACGGUCGACGAGCAACAACAGAAGGGUCAGUAAACGGUAAUGUAGCAGUGAUGGUUGAGGCACAGCAGACUAGGGUUCUAGAUUUGGGGGAUUUUUGGGGAAAAUUUGGGGGGAAUUUUUGGGGAGAAAAGUGAUUUGU